CUUCUACAUCUUGCAUUGCAUCAUUAAUGGCAAACCAAGGCCAAGGGAAGAAGUGUUUUCCGUUUGCAGGGAAUGUGAGGUCCGAACUGCAGAGAAUUUAAAUGAGUUCAAGAUUGUGAGCAUGAUACUAAACGAAACACUCCGGCUCUACCCACCGGUCGUGGCGCUCAUGAGGCAAACCUUGAAAAGCGUAAAGCUAAGGAACCCUCAACGUUCCAACCAAUACCCAACUCUACCUGGCCAUGAUGGUGGUGCACCACGACACUGAGCUAUGGGGAGUAGAUGCUAAGGAGUUCAACCCGAUGAGAUUCACUGAGGCUCGGAAGCAUUUCGCAUCGUUUAUCCCAUUUGGUUUGGGUGCCAGGAUUUGCGUAGGCCAGAAUCUUGCUGUGGUGGAAGCGAAGAUUGCAUUAGCUAUGAUAAUUAGACGGUAUUAUCUCUCUGUAUCGCUGUCAUACGUUCAUGCCCCUACUCAGUAUGUGACACUGCAACUUCAGCAUGGUGCACAUAUACUCUUUAGGAGGGUUUAAUUGUAAUGUUGGUCCCUAAAGUGUUAGUGAAGUGACACUUUUAUCCCAAAUGGAAAAAUUGGGUUUAUCAAGUGUCCUAUAUUUGAAACUUGUAUUUAAAUGGUCUCCGGAGCUAACUCGUGUUGGUAAUCAAAUUGAGGUCCUCCUUUAAUCAAUCAA